ensembl:lncRNA
AAAUCAGUGAAGAAUGAUAGCCCUUCUUGUCCCUGGUGACCACAGGCCUUUUGGCACACGUGGUGUGGGUAUCCUGACACCUGUCGAGCCACAAACAGGUUGGCGGUGCUUCUGAAAAUCGUUCCCUCUUUCUGGGAUAGCGUUUAACAAGAAGAGUGGUAUCUCUGUUUCAAAUUGAAAGUCAAGCUGAAGUCAAACGGAAAAUGUUUAGCAUUGUCUCAACCACAUCCUUAAAUAUAUUGGCCGCAACGAGAAAAUAACCCCGACCUCUGGUGCCACGCAGUGAUCGUGGGGACAGGUGUCAGCUUGGUUUUAACGUGAAAGCUGAGGAUUCUUUUGGGAUUUCCAGGGCUGCGUGAGAUCUAGGAAACCAGCUCAUCUGACUUUUGGGUUUGGAAGGAGAGCAGAAAGAAGAAAUGAAACAUGACACACGAGUAGGAGAAACGAAGACACUUUCACACUUUUAAAAAGUGUGAUAGCUGGGAGCUUUGACAUUGAUUUCAAUGGAGCACAGAGGAGCCUCUGCCCACAGUGGUACCCACAAUGCAAAAAUCCUUUGUUGUCCAACGCUGCCCAAAUGGAGAUGGGCUAUCACUUUUUCCCCACUGGAUUUCUGUAGUAAUACCCAUGAAAUAUCUUGACUAUCCCUGCUAUAAAUGGGAUUGGAAACCAGCUGGUAUAUUUCAUGAGUCCAGUUCUAAUAAUGACCCUUUAUCUGAAGAACUGUUCCUUCAGGUUAUCCUCUCUUGGCUGAGAGUUUAAUUUUCAGACUUUCUGCAUUUUUCCUCUUUAGUCAGCAGGUAAAGUAUGUAGUCGUGGCUGCCGGAGCCGAGUGCCUGCAUUUGUCAUGCCACAGAGCUGCCAUUCUCGGGGGCCAAGAUCUUUGUGCCAGCAGCAUCGUGUCACCCCAAUGGAAUCCCACCCACGUGUGGUGCUGGGCAAAGUCUUUUUUGUUAAUGGAUGAGUAAAAUUGCAUCUGGCUUUUGUUGUCAUCACGAGAGGGUAAGACUGUCUAAAACACAGGAACGUGAUGUGUCCUUAAAACAGCGUGGCAUUUGGAGUUGGCUGAGCUCUACCCAAACCUUUGCCAGCCUCAGAACCGUGAAUUGAAUGUCAACCCGAGCAGGUGGCACACAGGCUGGGAAGCCAUCAGGGGACAGUUGCUUUUUGUCUGUAAAGACAUCUUCUUACCCGUUCAGCUGAACCAGGAAGCUGAAGCUGCUUGUCCCCAUGGGUAGGGCACAGCACUGGGACUCAGGAGAGCUUCCUGCGUACCCCGGAGGGGGCAUUUCUGAGCACCCAAUUGAGCUAGUGCUGCCCAUGGGAGAAGGAACACCAUCCUGCGAGCCCUUGCAGAAGCUGCCAUCACAGAGUUUUGAUGCUGUUGGAUGUCUAUAGAGGCCUCCACAGUGUUCAUAAAACAGCAUAAUGGGGUGUAGUUUCAAUCAGAAUCAGUCUUGUCAAAGUCAAGGAGCUCUGCUUGCACCCAAAAAAGAAAGGAAAGGGAUGUUUCUCCCUGCUGCUCUGGUCAAACCAGCCUGGCAUCGGAGGCUUUACUGAGCUCUGCUCACACCUAGAAUCGUGGGAUCAUUAAGGUUGGAGAAGACACUAAGAUCCCCAACCUCAACCCACCCUGCCAUGCCCACUGCCCACGUCCCUCACUGCCACAUCUCCACGGCUCUGGAACACCCCCAGGGAUGGUGACCCCACCACUCCCUGGGCAGCUGUGCCAAUGCCCAACCAUUCUUUCUGAGAAGAAAUGCUUCUUAAUAUCCAACGUGGUAUCUCCAGCUGCUGUCUACUACAGCUCUUGGGUCUUCCCCCACAUUGUACCAGUCUGGAUAUCAUGCAGUGGAGGCACUCACUAUUGCUUUGGGGCCACAAAACCAGGAAUCAGAGGGGCUUUGGGGGUCUGCUUUGGCAGGAGCAGCACAAGCGGCUCAAGAUGACUUCAGUCUAUCACUGGCUGGCUGGGUUUGUUUCCAGCCCACUCUGUCUGCUUCCUAUGGAGUCAGUGAGCCAAUGGAGCCAGGGGAAUGAUGAAUAGCAUCUCGAGGCCCUGGGACAGGGAGUAGACCUCAUCUGGGUUCUGACGAGGACCUCAUCUACGCACUGAACUGCCUGCAGAGCAGCCUGCAGCAGGCAGGAUGCCACACAAGGGAAACCCCAAACUACCUUGGGGUCCUUCCAUGGCGGUGAAUCAGCGCAGGCUCCAGACAUGAGGAAGGUGUGGGUAAGCGCGGCGGCUGGACAAAGCCUUGCUGCCUCCAGCGGCCAAGCAUUUCCUUUGGCUUGCGGUCAUCUGGCUGUUACCUGGCUUCCCUGCCGAUGCAGUGGAAUUAUGCUGAAG